GACGAAGGAUGCAAGCGUUAUCCGGAUUCAUUGGGUUUAAAGGGCGCGUAGGUGGUCUUCUAAGUCAGUGGUGAAAUCUCUCGGCUUAACUGAGAAAUUGCCAUUGAUACUGGAAGACUUGAGUGUAGUUGCCGUUGGCGGAAUAUGACAUGUAGUGGUGAAAUACAUAGAGAUGUCAUAGAACACCGAUUGCGAAGGCAGCUAACGAAACUAUAACUGACACUGAGGCUCGAAAGUGCGGGGAUCAAACAGG
rnacentral:rRNA from 1 species